CUUAGUUGUUGUUGUUGUUGUUGUAUUGUAAUUUCAACAUUAAUAGCACAAUCUUCUGUAAUUUUCUUUCCUCCUUGAAUAAAACAAGAGUGAUAAUGAAUUUCAGCUACAAUUUUUCCCUCUCAUUUUCUUUCUUGUCCAUUCCUCCCACCCUACAAGGUCUUUUUCUUAUGCCAGAAUGAAAGUGUGAAACAACCAAGACAAAAUGCACAUUUUAAUAAGAAAUAUAAGAAAGCCAAUCAUAAUAAUGAACCUGGCUACUUGCAGCAUCUUCAGCUU
rnacentral:misc_RNA from 1 species